AGACGCGAUACGGUCUCUAGCAGUGACAUCAACACAUUGUAAAAAUUCAAUCUCGAUCCGAGCAAUCCGUCUUUUUGGAGAUGUUUUUGCACAUCGAUUCGCGGAUCGUACUUUUAACUGAUGACCUCUCGUCGGAAAAAGGCAACAAGUAGAUGCCGACAGAAUGAACAAAUUCGCAUGUAAUAUGGGAAAUGUGAGAGGCACAGAGAAGGAGAAGAUUUGUUGUAUUUUGUUUCUAUUUCUAAAUUAAUUUCUUCCUAUUGCACAUGAAGCUUGUGCAACAUGUUGGGUAACCACCACAGUCCAUUCAAAUUCAAUCGGACUUGUGUAUGAGGUGGUGACAUCCAAUGCAAUUAACCCUUCGUUGUCUCAAGAUUGGACCGGAAACCGCCUAAGUAAAAUGUGGCUUUGUUGUAAGGGUGUAAUAAGAUUGUGAUUGUUUAUCUAAUUUGAAUUGUAUAGCAAAUCGCUUUUUUAAAUCUCGAGUUUUCGUAUAAGAUAUUACCUAAAAGAAGAAUUAGUGUGAAAUGCACAACACGUAUUUUCUAACCUUAAUUUAAUUAGCGCUACGUUGGGAGAUAACUGUUACAUAUGAAUUUUGUUUUUGAUUCAUGUUAAUUAUAAUAAUGAGCAAAUACAACACAUUUUUGUUGCUACAAACAUAAUUAUAACUGUUGCAUUAAGUUCCACAAAACGACAAUGAUUUUACUAUUAUACUAUUGG